GAUGAACGCUAGCGGCAGGCCUAACACAUGCAAGUCGAGGGGGAAGUUACUUUCGGGUGACUGAGACCGGCGUACGGGUGCGUAACGCGUAUACAAUCUGCCUUUCACUGGGGGAUAGCCCGAAGAAAUUUGGAUUAAUACCCCAUAGUAUAUAGGGACGGCAUCGUUUUUAUAUUAAAGCUUAGGUGGUGAAAGAUGAGUAUGCGUUCUAUUAGCUAGUUGGAGAGGUAACGGCUCCCCAAGGCGAUGAUAGAUAGGGGUUCUGAGAGGGAUGUCCCCCACACUGGUACUGAGCUACGGACCAGACUCCUACGGGAGGCAGCAGUGAGGAAUAUUGGACAAUGGUCGGAAGACUGAUCCAGCCAUGCCGAGUGCAGGAUGAAGGUCUUAUGGAUUGUAAACUGCUUUUGUAAGGGAAGAAUAAGGGCUACGCGUAGUUUGAUGACGGUACCUUACGAAUAAGCAUCGGCUAACUCCGUG
rnacentral:rRNA from 1 species